rnacentral:ncRNA from 1 species
UCGUGGGUGACUGCGAAUCUGAAGGAAGCAGGCGACAAAAGUUCGGACCGACGAACAGGAACUGUAUACCAAGGCGGUGUCAUAUGGGUGAUGUUGCAAAAGAAACAAAAGCCCUAUACUGUACGAAAUAUGAUGACGUAGAUACAGCGGUUAGAUGAACGGAAAGCGGAUGAU